UAAAUGAGGAGGUUGGUGGCCCUGCCUGGCAGGGGAAUCCUGAGGUCCUUUCCAACCCAGGCCAUAUUGUGAUUCUGUGAUCACCCUGCUGGCCACCCAUUUUUUCAUAACGCCCGGGAUAUAGUUGGCCUUCCAGACCACAGGCUCACACUGCUGGCUCACGUCUAGCUUUUCAUCUACCAGAACCCCAGAAGUCCUUCUGGCAAACAGAAAAAUCUUUCCCAUCUUUUUCAAGAAUCUGUGAUGAGACUCCUCGCUCCCCAUGGGGGGAUGAGCAUAGGGAUGAGCCUCAUGCAUCCUAAGGGCCUUGAUCUUCCCAAGAAAGCCAACCUCCUAAUAAGGUAGCUUUCUGAUUUUCUGGUCAGCCCAACAUGUCUGCAUGCUGGCAUAUGACUUCAUUUGUGACCUAAGAGAAAACAACUGUUAGCCAGCUACGUGUAGAAAAACAUGACUAAGUACUUCCCCUGUAUGCCUUACUGCUGGGCAAGGAGGAGCUUUUUAAGGAGAAGGUAAGGAUGUGAGUAAGCUGUAAACAAUUAAAAGCAUGAAAAAAAAAAAAUCUUGGUAAGUACAACAUUUCACCUUGCUAAUUUUCAUUCUAUAGCAUCACCAGAUUUGUCACAUUACAGGAAGGAAUAACGUGUUUUUUUCAGUGUCUCCCAAAAUAUUGUAAGCACAGCCAUAACAGCCACCAUAAUUUUUAAUAAUAUUUGCAGGAAACUUGAUUUUAUUUAUGAAAGUAAUGCUACUAGGCAUUCUGGCAAAGUAAUUCUUGUUUUGGAAGGAAUACGGAGAAAUGUUUCCUAAACAGGAAGCACAGUACUUUUGUUUUGAGGGUGUUUUGCCCAUUUCCUUUAAGCCAAGUGAUAAUAAUUAGCAAAUUUAUGAGAAACAGCAUCACUAUCUUUCAAAAAGUUCACGAAGAUAAACAAGUAAUUAUAUCCAGCAAAUGUGUGAAUUAAGGCACGGAAAGGUUGAAAAACCCAGCCGAAGCCUGAUGCGUGAUCAGUGGCAGAAGUGAAAACCAAAACUAGAAAAUGCUGAUGUAAAGCAAUUGCAUAAUCUCUGUAGACGGAAGUUUGCAUUUCAGCAGUUCAACAUUCUGACUCAUUUUCCCCUUAUUUACUGUAACAGGAGUUUCUGAUAGUGACAUGCAAAAAUGCCUCUGUGUAAGAGUGUUAGUAUUGCCUAUGUCGGUCAGGAGUCCAGUCAGAAAUCUCUUAAGUCCCAAUUCGGAAGGAAUGAAAGAGAGUGUCUGUGAAACUUGUUCAGUGGGAUCUGGAAAAGAGCAUUAGAUACUCCAGGAAGAGAAGUCUGGGAAAAUAUUUCAGUUGUGCUUGACUUUGUUUCUCAGUCUUUCACACCAUCAAUCUCCUUGGUUUGUUUGUUUGUUUGUUUGUUUGUUUUACAUUUAGGAUGAGAGAACCAUACAAGAGAUAGGAAAAUCUUCUGCUGCUUGUUGUUCUCCAUGAAAGGAAAAAUAGAGACAGAAGAUCGGCUGAUAAAAAGGUGAAUCUGAGGUUGGUUAUAUGUGGUGCAAUUUCCUCUUUCCAAGGGUGACUGAUCGUAAAGGAAAGGAACUGUAAAAGCUGAGCCUGCUGCAUCAUUCUUUCUGGGGAUCACAUCACAGAACUCUGAAGACCUUUGAACUGUGAGUUAAAUCCUGCAGUGUUUGAUAUAUAUGACACUAUCCAGGCUUCUACCAAACAAAUCAAACAGUAGUUUAUGUCUGUGUUGUAUGUAUGUAUAUAUUUAUGGGUAGGGAGAAGUUAUUCUAUUGAUUAGACCAGUUAAGAUAGCUGAGAAGAUACUGACAGAUGUUUGUACACACCAUUUCUUUAUCAUGUUUAUCUAUGGAAGGAAAUUACAUCUAUGUUGGGAAAGUUUCCUAAAAGUAGCAUCUGUAGUAACAACACAUACCUUAAAAAACACAGUAAUUAGUGUGUUGAAUUUAAGUAAAACUUGCAGAGAACUGUUUUGUUCACUUUAAUAGGAUGUGAAAAUUUCUGAAGUGAAUUUAUUCAUUAAAAACUGAGGGAAAUAAAAUGUUAAGUUGGCCUCCACACUGAUUUUAAAAGUAAAAAAAAAAAAAAAAGAUAAAGCAUAUAUUGAUUUGGCACUGAAAUGAACCUACA